rnacentral:snoRNA from 1 species
AACCCAUGGUGAGGGCACCUUUUCAGUAAGUCCUUAUAUCUCUCCCAUUCAUCGUAAAGUGUUUCUAAAUCCAUCUGCACAAAAGAAGAGAUAUCAUUAUGCAAUU